GAUGAACGCUGGCGGCGUGCCUAAUACAUGCAAGUCGAGCGAACGGACGAGAAGCUUGCUUUUCUGAUGUUAGCGGCGGACGGGUGAGUAACACGUGGAUAACCUACCUAUAAGACUGGGAUAACUUCGGGAAACCGGAGCUAAUACCGGAUAAUAUUUUGAACCGCAUGGUUCAAAAGUGAAAGACGGUCUUGCUGUCACUUAUAGAUGGAUCCGCGCUGCAUUAGCUAGUUGGUAAGGUAACGGCUUACCAAGGCAACGAUGCAUAGCCGACCUGGGAGGGUGAUCGGCCACACAGGAACGGAGACACGGUCCAGACCCCUACGGGAGGCAGCAGUAGGGAAUCUUCCGCAAUGGGCGAAAGCCUGACGGAGCAACGCCGCGUGAGUGAUGAAGGUCUUCGGAUCGUAAAACUCUGUUAUUAGGGAAGAACAUAUGUGUAAGUAACUGUGCACAUCUUGACGGUACCUAAUCAGAAAGCCACGGCGAACUACGU
rnacentral:rRNA from 1 species